rnacentral:rRNA from 1 species
GAUGAACGCUGGCGGCGUGCCUAACACAUGCAAGUCGAGCGAACGGACGAGAAGCUUGCUUUUCUGAUGUUAGCGGCGGACGGGUGUGUAACACGUGGAUCACCUACCUAUAUGACUGGGAUCACUACGGGACACCGGCGCUAAUACCGGAUAAUAUUUUGAACCGCAUGGUUCAAUAGUGAGUGACGGUCUUGCUGUCUCUUAUAGCUGCAUCCGGGCUGCAUUGGCUAGUUGGUAAGGUAACGGCUUACCACGGCGACGAUGCAUAGCCGACCUGAGAGGGGGAUCGGCCACACUGGAGCUGGGCCGCGGUCAUGACUCCUACGGGAGGCAGCAGUAGGGAAUCUUCCGCAAUGGGCGAAAGCCUGACGGAGCAACGCCGCGUGAGUGAUGAAGGUCUUCGGAUCGUAAAACUCUGUUAUUAGGGAAGAACAGAUGUGGAAGUAACUGUGCACAUCUUGACGGUACCUAAUCAGAAAGCAACGGCUAACUACGUG